rnacentral:rRNA from 1 species
UCUCUAGGCAAUGGAUGUCUUGGCUCCUCACACGAUGAAGAACGUGGCAUAAUGUGUUAAGUAACCGGAGUUGCAAACAUCAUGACAGGUUAAUCUUUGAAUGCAAAUUGCGCCUUUCCGGCUUCGGCCGUGUAGGCAUGGAUGCAACAGUAC